rnacentral:rRNA from 1 species
CAGCAGCCACGGUAAUACGAAGGGUGCAAGCGUUACUCGGAAUUACUGGGCGUAAAGGGCGCGUAGGCGGGUUUUUAAGUCAGAGGUGAAAUCCCAAGGCUCAACCUUGGAACUGCCUUUGAUACUGGAAGUCUUGAGUCCGGGAGAGGUGAGUGGAACUGCGAGUGUAGAGGUGAAAUUCGUAGAUAUUCGGAGGAACACCGAUGGCGAAGGCAGCCCCCUGGGCCAAUACUGACGCUCAUGCACGAAAGCGUGGGGAGCAAACAGGAUUAGAUACCCGAGUAGUCCCUGUCUCUUAUAA